GCUCAGACAUUUAUGUUGCUCAAAUGUAAUUAUCUAAGAGAAGUUCAUUUCUUGCAGGAAAUGUGAAACUGACAUUAUUCUGUGCUGUUUGUUGCAUAUCAUGUACUUGUAAAGCCUCAUUCUAAUGUGUGUGUAUCCUUUCAGUGUAAUGUGGCAAACCAAGACCAUAACUACAGCAGUAAAAGACAAAUUUCUGUACGUCGGUCAGAGAGGACAAAGAAGCCUGCAGCUCACAGACAGUGUCCAUGCUGCAGGGACAACCAGCACCAGCACUCUGCUACACCUACUAGCCUGCCCCAGAAGAGGAAGCGGACCUCUGUAGCCCGUCCUUCCCAGCCUUCUCCUGGGCAUCCAGAGCUGCUGAGUCAAGCUUCCACUGCUUCUACCAGCUCGUUGGACUUGGUCCCAAGUUGCCAACAUGAUUUGUUGAGGUACAAGAAUGGACACCCGCGUCCAUACACUUUAGAGCUGGGACGUCGGAUCAAAACCGAGCUGUGGGAGCGACUGG